rnacentral:rRNA from 2 species
GCGGACAGAUGGGAGCUUGCUCCCUGAUGUUAGCGGCGGACGGGUGAGUAACACGUGGGUAACCUGCCUGUAAGACUGGGAUAACUCCGGGAAACCGGGGCUAAUACCGGAUGCUUGUUUGAACCGCAUGGUUCAAACAUAAAAGGUGGCUUCGGCUACCACUUACAGAUGGACCCGCGGCGCAUUAGCUAGUUGGUGAGGUAACGGCUCACCAAGGCAACGAUGCGUAGCCGACCUGAGAGGGUGAUCGGCCACACUGGGACUGAGACACGGCCCAGACUCCUACGGGAGGCAGCAGUAGGGAAUCUUCCGCAAUGGACGAAAGUCUGACGGAGCAACGCCGCGUGAGUGAUGAAGGUUUUCGGAUCGUAAAGCUCUGUUGUUAGGGAAGAACAAGUACCGUUCGAAUAGGGCGGUACCUUGACGGUACCUAACCAGAAAGCCACGGCUAACUACGUGCCAGCAGCCGCGGUAAUACGUAGGUGGCAAGCGUUGUCCGGAAUUAUUGGGCGUAAAGGGCUCGCAGGCGGUUUCUUAAGUCUGAUGUGAAAGCCCCCGGCUCAACCGGGGAGGGUCAUUGGAAACUGGGGAACUUGAGUGCAGAAGAGGAGAGUGGAAUUCCACGUGUAGCGGUGAAAUGCGUAGAGAUGUGGAGGAACACCAGUGGCGAAGGCGACUCUCUGGUCUGUAACUGACGCUGAGGAGCGAAAGCGUGGGGAGCGAACAGGAUUAGAUACCCUGGUAGUCCACGCCGUAAACGAUGAGUGCUAAGUGUUAGGGGGUUUCCGCCCCUUAGUGCUGCAGCUAACGCAUUAAGCACUCCGCCUGGGGAGUACGGUCGCAAGACUGAAACUCA